CGACGUUAUUCCUCUCUCCUACAGCAUCCAUCACAAUUACAUGCACAUGGCCAAUUAUCCAAAUUAGGUGAUGACAUCAUUUAGCAACUUCUAGCAACUUUUAGGAAAGCCAAUAGCUACUUUCCAUACUGAGGAGUUGGCAGCACUGCCCGUGGGAGCUGCGCGGCAGUCUCGAGGGAAUAUUGCUCACAGGAAAAUGACCCAACACACCUCCAAGCUGUGUAAGGGCUAUUUGACCAAUAAGGAGAGGAAUGGAGUGCUGUAUCAGAUGACCUGGCAUCCACAAUCACCCGACCUCACCCCAAUUGAGUUGGACGGCAGUGUGAAGGAAAAGCAGAUAACAAGUGCUCAGCAUAUGUGGGAACUCCUUCAAGAUUGUUGGAAAAGCAGUCCAGGUGAAGCUGGUUGAGAGAAUGCCAAGAGUGUGCAAAGCUGUCAUCAAGGCAAAGGGUGGCUACUUUGAAAAAUUUAAAAUAUAUUUGGAUUUGUUUAACACUUGUUUCGUUACUACAUGAUUCCAUAUGUGUUAUUUCAUAGUUUUGAUGUCUUCAAUAUUGUUCUACAAUGUAUAAAAUAGGAAAAAUAAAGAAAAA
rnacentral:lncRNA from 1 species